GUAGCAUUUACCAUAGGGUCAAUUGGUACAGAGUGGUGUUAGAUGAAGCUCAUACCAUUAAGUCCUGGAAGACUUUAGUUGCUCAAGCGGCCUUUAAGUUGUCCUCACAUUGCAGAUGGUGCCUCACAGGAACCCAUAUCCAGAAUAAUUUGGAAGACCUUUACAGCCUAUUAUGCUUCUUGCGUGUCGAGCCAUGGUGCAACUGGUCAUGGUGGAACAAGUUGGUCCAUAAGCCAUACGAGAAUGGUGAUCCGAGAGGGCUGAAACUGAUAAAAUCUAUCUUACGGCCAUUGAUGUUGAGAAGAACAAAAGACACGAAAGACAAAGAAUGAAGAUGAUUAUUUCAGUUCCUUUGGUUUUUGCUUUUCUCCUUUUGCCUAAGCAAACAAACCAUAAAAUGUUCUUGAUGUUUGGUGCAUGCGGUUUUAGACCCAUUCUCGUUCUUCCUCCAACUGAUGUUCAAAUCGUUGAAUGUGAACAAUCAGAAGCAGAAUAUGAUUUUUAUGAAGCUCUUUUCAAGAAAUCCAAAGUCAAGUUUGACGAGUUUGUGGCUCAAGGCAAGGUUCUUCACAACUAUGCUAACAUCCUUGAGCUUCUCCUUCGGCUGAG